rnacentral:rRNA from 1 species
GAUCCUGGCUCAGGAUGAACGCUAGCUACAGGCUUAACACAUGCAAGUCGAGGGGCAGCGGGAUCUAGCUUGCUAGAUUGCCGGCGACCGGCGCACGGGUGAGUAACGCGUAUCCAACCUUCCCCUUAGUAGGGCAUAGCCCGUAGAAAUGCGGAUUAAUACCCUAUGUUUUCCAAUGAGGACAUCUGAGCUGGAACAAAGAUUCAUCGCUAAGGGAUGGGGAUGCGUCUGAUUAGGCCGCAGGCGGGGUAACGGCCCACCUGGCCGACGAUCAGUAGGGGUUCUGAGAGGAAGGUCCCCCACAUUGGAACUGAGACACGGUCCAAACUCCUACGGGAGGCAGCAGUGAGGAAUAUUGGUCAAUGGUCGAGAGACUGAACCAGCCAAGUAGCGUGCAGGAUGACGGCCCUAUGGGUUGUAAACUGCUUUUAUGCGGGGAUAAAGUUCACUACGUGUAGUGUUUUGUAGGUACCGCAUGAAUAAGGACCGGCUAAUUCCGUGCCAGCCGCGGC